rfam:Aspergillus parasiticus ST-1 310, whole genome shotgun sequence.
GGCCGGCUGGCUCAAUGGUAGAGCGUCAGUCUCCUAGCAGGCCAUUGGUCAAUAGAUCAAAACUGAAGGUUCUGGGUUCGAGUCCCAGGUCGGUCG